CCUACGGGUGGCAGCAGUAGGGAAUAUUGCUCAAUGGGGGAAACCCUGAAGCAGCAACGCCGCGUGGAGGAUGAAGGUUUUCGGAUUGUAAACUCCUUUUGUUAGAGAAGAUAAUGACGGUAUCUAACGAAUAAGCACCGGCUAACUCCGUGCCAGCAGCCGCGGUAAUACGGAGGGUGAAAACGUUAGUCGGAAUUACUGGGCGUAGAGAGCGCGUAGGCGGGUUAGCAAGUCUGAUGUGAAAGCCUAUGGCUUAACCAUAGGACGUCAUUUGAAACUGUAAAUCUAGAGUAUAGGAGAGGUAAGUGGAAUUCCUGGUGUAGCGGUAAAAUCCGUAGAGAUCAAGAGGAAUACUCAUGGCGAAGGCGACCUGCUAGAACAUAACUGACGCUGAUGUGCGAAAGCGUGGGGAGCAAACAGGAUUAGAUACCCGUGUAGUC
rnacentral:rRNA from 1 species